CCUCUCUUUUCAUAAAUCGAACCACAGCGGCUAAACUACAGCACUCAACAACUCACGAUCAACGCGGCGCGCAUGCGCACAGGUGUACGCCGUCGUACUCAGCGCACUGGUUGGCGGUGCUUUGUGCGGUGUCCUGGGCGGCGGAUAUGGAGCUGGACUGGGAGGCCUUGGUGGCGGUGUAGCCCUCGGUGGUGCCGGAGUAGGAGUCGGCAGCAGUGUGGUGCUCCUUGGUGGCGGCGGUGCCGGUCUCACCAAGUCCGUGGCCGGGCCCUCGUUCCUCGUCAACACGGUGCACCACGUGUCGAAGGUCGACAGUGGAGGUGCCGUCGUGGCCCACUCCGGCCUCGGAGGCGUCGGCGGAGGACUGGGCUAUGGUGGACUCGGCGUCGGAGGCCUCGGAGGAGGCGUUUUGCUCGGUGGUGCUGGCCUUGGAGAUGCCGGUCUCGGCCUCGGCGGAGGAUACGGCCUCGGCGGAGGAUACGGCCACGGCGGCGGCAAGCUUGUCCUAUUGAAAGGAGGAUGGCACAAAUGAGUGCCUUCCCAAUUAGUUGGAAGAGAGAAGGCACGUGGACCGAGCUACGCAGUGCCGUUUUGUGGGUGAGCUUCAGUGGCUUGUGCCUGCCAUCAAAGCCGAAGCGAACGAAGAAACGAAACAUGUAUAUUUAGCAGGUGUAAAUAAAAAUCAUUGGUGGACACCUUUCCACAUCACCUGAAUACA